rnacentral:sRNA from 1 species
CUUCCGUAGGGUGAACCUGCGGAAGGAUCAUUAAAAAAAAGAGAAACGUCCCGUUUUUUUCAUAAGAAUGGGUUCUAUUCCCUUAAACCGUGUCUACAUACCUUUGUUGCUUUGGCAGGCCGCCUUCGGGCGUCGGCUCCGGCUGAUAGUGCCUGCCAGAGGACCCAAACUCUAUGUUUAGUGAUGUCUGAGUACUAUAUAAUAUUUAAAACUUUCAACAACGGAUCUCUUGGUUCUGGCAUCGAUGAAGAACGCAGCGAAAUGCGAUAAGUAAUGUGAAUUGCAGAAUUCAGUGAAUCAUCGAAUCUUUGAACGCACAUUGCGCCCCUUGGUAUUCCGAGGGGCAUGCCUGUUCGAGCGUCAUUAUAACCACUCAAGCCUGGCUUGGUAUUGGGGUUUUCGCGUGUUCGCGGCCCUUAAAAUCAGUGGCGGUGCCGUCUGGCCCUAAGCGUAGUAAUUUCUCUCGCUAUAGGGUUCCGGUGGUUACUUGCCAAAACCCCCCAUUUUUUCUAGGUUGACCUCGGAUCAGGUAGGGAUACCCGCUGAACUUAAGCAUAUCAAUAAGCGGA